rnacentral:misc_RNA from 1 species
GAUGAAGAACGUAGUGAAAUGCGAUAAGUAAUGUGAAUUGCAGAAUUCAGUGAAUCAUCGAAUCUUUGAACGCACAUUGCGCCCCCUGGUAUUCCGGGGGGCAUGCCUGUUCGAGCGUCAUUUCACCACUCAAGCCUCGCUUGGUAUUGGGCAACGCGGUCCGCCGCGUGCCUCAAAUCGACCGGCUGGGUCUUCUGUCCCCUAAGCGUUGUGGAAACUAUUCGCUAAAGGGUGUUCGGGAGGCUACGCCGUAAAACAACCCCAUUUCUAAGGUUGACCUCGGAUCAGGUAGGGAUACCCGCUGAACUUAAGCAUAUCAUAAGCGGAGGA